rnacentral:rRNA from 1 species
AGGAAUUGGCGGGGGAGCACCACAACGGGUGGAGCCUGCGGUUUAAUCGGACUCAACGCCGGGAAACUCACCGGACAAGACAGCUGAAUGAUAGUCGGGCUGAAGACUCUACUUGACUAGCUGAGAGGAGGUGCAUGGCCGUCGUCAGUUCGUACUGUGAAGCAUCCUGUUAAGUCAGGCAACGAGCGAGACCCACGCCAACAGUUGCUAGCUCGUCCUCCGGGAUGGAGAGGACACUGUUGGGACCGCCUCUGCUAAAGAGGAGGAAGGAAUGGGCAACGGUAGGUCAGCAUGCCCCGAAUUGUCCGGGCUACACGCGGGCUACAAUGGGUGGGACAAUGGGUAUCGACACCGAAAGGUGAAGGCAAUCUCCUAAACCCAUCCUUAGUUCGGAUUGUGGGCUGCAACUCGCCCACAUGAAGCUGGAAUCCGUAGUAAUCGUGUCUCAAAAUGGCACGGUGAAUAUGCCCCUGCUCCUUGCACACACCGCCCGUC